GACGAACGCUGGCGGCGUGCUUAACACAUGCAAGUCGAACGGAAAGGCCCUGCUUUUGUGGGGUUCUCGAGUGGCGAACGGGUGAGUAACACGUGAGUAACCUGCCCUUGACUUUGGGAUAACUUCAGGAAACUGGGGCUAAUACCGGAUAGGAGCUCCUGCUGCAUGGUGGGGGUUGGAAAGUUUCGGCGGUUGGGGAUGGACUCGCGGCUUAUCAUCUUGUUGGUGGGGUAGUGGCUUACCAAGGCUUUGCCGGGUAGCCGGCCUGAGAGGGUGACCGGCCACAUUGGGACUGAGAUACGGCCCAGACUCCUACGGGAGGCAGCAGUGGGGAAUAUUGCACAAUGGGCGGAAGCCUGAUGAAGCAACGCCGCGUGCGGGAUGACGGCCUUCGGGUUGUAAACCGCUUUCGCCUGUGACGAAGCGUGAGUGACGGUAAUGGGUAAAGAAGCACCGGCUAACUACGUG
rnacentral:rRNA from 1 species